CUCUCCCCUGCCCCUUUUUGAAAAGAUACAUAGCAACAAAGUCGUACCUGUAUAAUUUUACGUGCGUACAUACACAUACAUACAGCCUUUUGCCAGCACGGAAUGACAGUUAGUUGUGACCGCGUUCCUGAGUGGUGUAGUCACGCCAACAAGACUGUAAGACGGACACGCUCCUCCUACCUAGAAAAUAACAAAACCAGAAGCAGUGGCCGUCUAUGAAGUCUGUUGAAGGGACUUGCCCUGUACGGCAGUGGAGCUGGGUUGGGAGGCAGGGACAGCAAUCCAGGCAACCUUCUGCUUAUUCACCCAAGAAACCCAGACUUCCCACAUUCGACAUACAUUUUGGCUCGGCACCAAACGAGGUGAGGGUCCCACAGCCAUGAGCCUCCUUCCCAGCACAGACCCCCACUGGUUAGCACUGACUGCCUGACGCAGUGACUAACAGAGGUCCACAGAGAAAUAAUAACGUAUUGUGGAGCUAAUUAAGAACUAACAUGAUACCAUAUAUACGCAUGGGGGUAAAUCAGUGAUGUACCCAUAAUCUUAAUUCCACCAUUUCCUAAUUUGUCACGCUGAACUUUGCAAUUCUUUCACUGGACUUCUCUGCUUAAAAAAGCCAAACUGUAAAACCAAAAGCAACAUAAUGAAUAACGUCUUUCAACACCCAUUCUGUCUCGGUGGAGGGCAAGAGCGUUCCACACACAGGAAACAAACCGAUACCUUGUGAGUUAACGGGGUAACUGUAUGAGAGGGAGAUGACGGAGACGUUUUGUCACCGGGAUUCACAGCUGAAUUUUGGAAGAAGAAUGCCAGGACUCGGGACCCGUUGGCUUGGUAUUCUCCUGUAGGGAUAAGCUGCUUUUUCACAUCCAUUUCCUUAUUGCCCUGGCUGAUCAAAAAGACGGAACAAAUCACACAGGAGAGAAUGCAUAGCCUAACAUUUUCCAGUUGGGAAGAGAGAUAAGUGAGUGGGAGAUAUAACAGAGGUCUGUAAAGUCAUAAGCAGCACAGAGAAGUUGAAGAGAAAGUCUCAAAAUAGGAGAGCUAAAGGAUACCUAGUGACAGUAUGAAGAAACAAGUUUAAACAAACCAAAAAAAGAUAGUGUGUUCCGCAGACACAAUCAUGGAACUGUGGAAGUCGCUGCCACAAGGGGCUGUGGAAAACAAAACUGCAUCUGAGUGACGAAAGGUUAGACAAAGUCACAGAGCAUAAAGCAGCUACUAAGCACAGCGAUCAGGGACACAGUUUUGACUCGGGAAGUUUCUAAAACUCUGGCAGCCUGAAGGCAGGCUGGCUAUGAGAAACGAGUUGCUUUCCACGUGUCCUGGUUCCGGUGCUCUUGCCUACAAAUCGCUGACUGGCCACUGCCAGGAUCAGGAAGCCCUGCUUUAAACAUCACCUCUUGUUCCGUGUGAAUAUUGUGACCUAAGGAGAUCCAUGUGCUGCAAUUCUCACCAAGAACUCCACCACUGACCAUAAGAAGAUGGGAGGAAACUGGCUUUCUCAAAACCGUAAAACAAGAAGCUUGGGAGAAAAGUUAUAAACAAUUUGAUUUUCCUUGGGCUAGGAAUGUAAGAACUAAUUCAGAAUAAAAUGGGCAGUAAUUUUUCCUGUGUGUAAAAAAAAAUGUGAACUAUUUGUUACAAUUAUAAUGAGCACCCGGAAACUAGAAGAAAAGAUAAGCCAUUUCUCGUCAGACACACUUAUCAGUUUCUAAGUAAGGAAUAAAACUAUUUUCAGCCAAGUAGCUACAGCUUUUUAUAAAUGUUCAUCUAUUUUUGUAUCUACCUAUUCCAGUAAAAUAGUCGGUAGUAAACACUUCAAAAUGUG